UACGGAGGAUGCAAGCGUUAUCCGGAUUUAUUGGGUUUAAAGGGUGCGUAGGCGGCCUUGUAAGUCAGUGGUGAAAACCUGCAGCUCAACUGUAGGCGUGCCAAUGAAACUGUGAGGCUUGAGUGACGUUGAGGCAGGCGGAAUGUGUAGUGUAGCGGUGAAAUGCUUAGAUAUUACACAGAACACCGAUUGCGUAGGCAGCUUGCUAAAGGUUAACUGACGCUGAUGCACGAAAGCGUGGGGAUCGAACAGG
rnacentral:rRNA from 1 species